GCCUAAUACAUGCAAGUCGAACGGUCGACUUCGGUCGAUAGUGGCGAACGGGUGAGUAACGCGUUGGUGACCUGCCCCGAAGCGGGGGAUAACAGACCGAAAGGUCUGCUAAUACCGCAUAAUCUGGUGGAAGAUUAGAAGUCUGCCAGGGAAGCCGGACGUCUCGUGAGAGACGCUGGCACUUUGGGAGGGGCCUGCGACCCAUCAGCUAGUUGGUAAGGUAACGGCUUACCAAGGCGAUGACGGGUAGGGGACCUGAGAGGGUGACCCCCACAAUGGAACUGAAACACGGUCCAUACACCUACGGGUGGCAGCAGUAGGGGAUAUUGGUGAAUGGGCGCAAGCCUGAACCAGCAACGCCGCGUGUGCGAUGAAGGCCUUCGGGUUGUAAAGCACUUUUUGCCGGGAAGAGGUAGGACGGUACCGGUAGAAUCAGCCUCGGCUAACUACGUGCCAGCAGCCGCGGUAAAACGUAGGAGGCGAGCGUUAUCCGGAUUUACUGGGUGUAAAGCGCGUGCAGGCGGCAUGGUAAGUUGGGUGUGAAAGCUUCCGGCUCAACUGGGAGAGGUUGCUCAAGACUGCCAAGCUAGAGAGUGGUAAGGGAAGGCGGAAUUCCGGGUGUAGUGGUGAAAUGCGUAGAUAUCCGGAGGAACACCAGUGGCGAAAGCGGCCUUCUGGGCCACGACUGACGCUCAGACGCGAAAGCCAGGGGAGCAAACGGGAUUAGAGACCCCGGUAGUCCUGGCUGUAAACGAUGUGAACUUGGCGGCGGGAGGGUAAAACCUUUCGGUGCCGAAGCAAACGCGAUAAGUUCACCACCUGGGG
rnacentral:rRNA from 1 species